UGGCCACCUGCGCUGUACUUUACUACGGCCAGUGCGUAUACCCAUCUACACAUAUAUACACGCCUCAGUGAUCAUCAUAGAGAGCGGCUCCCUGCCCCCCCCCCCCCCCCCCCCCCGUUGUCUAACUGCUGGUGGGCACACCAAGCGCGCGUGCACGACGGGCUCUUUGCUCCUUCUCAUCAUUCCCCAUCUCUCCUACAUGUGUGUGCGUGUGCGUGUGCGCAUUUCCUUUGUUCUUCGGCUUCUGGACUCUCUACUCUCUACGCGCUUGCGUACACAUCACACGUCAGCGUGUGCCUGUGUGCACCAAGGGCACUUCUGCAUCAUAUUUGCUGUUCCCUUCUACAUGUUGGGCUGGCUGUUAUGCCAUUGUGUCUCGCCACCCUGUCAUCGUUUCCUGUGUCUGUCUGUGCUUGUACUGCUGCUGCUGCUUCUCUUGCCAUCUAGAGGGUCCGACACGCACGCCUACACAUUGCCAAUAUCCCAUCACCGCAUCUUCUGCUCGUGCACACCUACACAGAGGUUGCUGCCGCCUAGCUCGCGGUCUGUUUUUGUGUGCGCCCUGCUUUUCUUCAGCGGUGUGUGUGGGUGCUCUUCUCCGUGCUUUCCUUUUUGUAAACUCGUUGAACAUUCUCGGAAGAGAGGGAGAGUGCGUGUGCGUGUGUGCGUGUCUGUGAGAGAUUUUUUUUUCUAGGUAGGUUGCGAGCGUGGAAGGGUCGUGGUGGGCUGUCAACGGUGCACGUGUGCCGUGCGGCUACGGUGGUGGUGGUGUGUGUGUGUGUGUGUGCUAUUACCACUCCUACUUCUUUUGGCUUCUUUUUUGGCCUGCUUCUCGUCUCUUUUUGUUUUGCUUCGCUCAGCCGCGCGUGGUCGGAGGGCGAGAGGUCUGACGAGGGGAGAGAGUCGGCGCGUGCCUUCUUGCCGUCCUCUCCAGACAGUCCUUCCACCUCUUCCCCCUUGUAUCUCGUGUCUCCUUUUUGGAGGACACCCUCCUUGUCCUCCUCUUCUAACGCAUACAUCAACGCAGCGCUCUGCGUGUCUCUCUCUCCCUGCCGUGCGCUAGGACUUGCUCAGUGCCGCAUAGCGAAGAAAAUGAUCCCUGCGCUCAACAUGAACAGCAUUCAUCGCCACACCACCGUGGCUAUCCCUGCAGUUGGUGGCAGUGGCGGGACAGGCUUGAACAGCAGCGGCUCUGGCAGCGGCGGUGCACGGCUGGCGACAGGGCGGCAAAUUUCUCCUCGCACCUCGUACCUGACCUCCACGGGAGAGACGUCGAGCUUGCCGGCGGCGCACCUCCAGCGGCGUGCGGCGGAUGUGGCCAACGUGCUAGAGAUGAACCCGCUACAAUGCCACAGCGUCGCCGACCUGCAGCGCAAGCUAAUCGAGACAGCGGAGUGGGUGGUGAAGCUGCGCCACUGGUACACACAUCAGCUCCAGGAGCGAGAUCUGUGGUGCGAGAGCCGCCUGAGAGGCUUGGAGGACUCCUUCCAUGCAGCCUUGGCCGCCUCCGCCGCAGCGGGAACGGCACACGCCACGGCUGGUGCGGGUGCGGUCUACACAGCCACAGAGGACAGCUUCACGGAGCACGCGGCCCCUUCCACCAUCUCCGCCUCCCGCGCCGUCGCCAGCGGGGCGCCUGCAAGCAGUGCGAUAGCGGCGACUGCUUCUGCGUCCGCAGACAAGGAGGCCGGUAGUGGCACACCGCUGCGGCACCGUAGUCGCGCCCACAAGAACUCGGCUUCAGAAGCAUCAGAAGCUGGCGCCAACACUGCAAACAGCUCUCAUCCAGUCAAGCGAAACCAGUCAUCAUCAGCAGGCACUGCCGCUGGCGUAGCGGGCGGCGGCAACAGUGGCGACAGAUGCAGCAGCGCCCCACUGCGCGCGGGUCCGCCAAAGCGGUCAGCGCUGUUGCCCAUCGCGCAAGGCCGCCUCACAGCCUCUGCCGGUUCCCCUGGUCGGCAGCCGCUGCACCCGGAGGACAACGAGCCUCCGUGUACUAGCGUGGCAACCACCGUGAUCGAUCGGGGCGAGUCUCGUCCGACCCUCGCGGCGCGCGCCGUUGCAGUCACGACGCCGGUGAUUGUGGAAGGCGAUUACGACGCAUCCGGUGUACCACACCAUCCAUCAGCGUCCCCGCACCCACGCGGCAGCCGCGCCGGAAGCAUCUCUCUCCCAUCCUCCGCCGUGCGUACACAGGUCAACGGCAUCCCUGCGGCCGGUGCCAUUAGGCUGCGCAGGGAUGUACACUCGUCCAGGACACCGCUGAGUGGUCGGCCGUCGUCAGCGAAUGCACUGUUGUUGGCUGCUGGUGCUGCGACGGAGUCCUCGGGCCGCUUUUCCGCCAGGGCGGGUGGCAGCGGAGGCCGCAGGAGUGAUGUCGCGCAGAGCGAGCGCAGGCAAUACUACGCUUCCUUAUCACGCACGGGGUCUGGCAGCAUCAAUAUCAGCGUGCCGCACUAUGCCCAGUACUUGGACGUCAGUACUUCACGGAACCCCAUCGCGGCAGAGGUAAACACAGGAAACAGCGCCACUGACGUUGCCGCCCCGGCGUUCCACAAGACGGCUCCUCGCUUCAGCAACUACCUCUAUCUCCUAACCAGCGGCGACGACAACCACACCCGCAAACCGAAGCGGCGCAGCCUCAGCAGCAGUGGGGGUCGUCACGCGAGUCGAGUGUACACAACCAGCGGGGCGAAGCAGAAUGCCAUGGGUCGCGGCGCCUCUAGCCAAAACCGAAAAGGAACCGGGAACGCCGACGCAAGUCGGCACAGCUCGCCCACUUGUUUCAUCCGCCAGCAGUCGUGGACGUGAAGGAAGCCCUCGCCUCGCACAACACACCCAAACACACACACACACACACACACACACACACACACACACACACACACAGAUGUGCGACCGGUACAUGCGCGCCUUCACACCCACACAUGGGCGCAUUCGGAGUAUUGGACGACGGCCUGUGUGUGGCCUGUGAUGCGUGUGCCCGGUGUGUGCGUGGAGGCGCGGACGACCAUCGUCAUGUCUGCCGCAUCUCGGGUUGUGGCUUUCUCUCUUCUCAUUCCUUCUUGUUCUUCUUUUCGCUUGCGCCCUUCACACGAUGGCGUAUCCUC
rnacentral:misc_RNA from 1 species